rnacentral:rRNA from 1 species
GCGGUAAUUCGGAGGGUGCGAGCGUUAAUCGGAAUUACUGGGCGUAAAGCGCAUGCAGGUGGUUUGUUAAGUCAGAUGUGAAAGCCCGGGGCUCAACCUCGGAAUUGCAUUUGAAACUGACAAACUAGAGUACUGUAGAGGGGGGUAGAAUUUCAGGUGUAGCGGUGAAAUGCGUAGAGAUCUGAAGGAAUACCGGUGGCGAAGGCGGCCCCCUGGACAGAUACUGACACUCAGAUGCGAAAGCGUGGGGAGCAAACAGGAUUAGAUACCCUGGUAGUCCACGCCGUAAACGAUGUCUACUUGGAGGUUGUGGCCUUGAGCCGUGGCUUUCGGAGCUAACGCGUUAAGUAGACCGCCUGGGGAGUACGGUCGCAAGAUUAAAACUCAAAUGAAUUGACGGGGGCCCGCACAAGCGGUGGAGCAUGUGGUUUAAUUCGAUGCAACGCGAAGAACCUUACCUACUCUUGACAUCUACAGAAGCCAGCGGAGACGCAGGUGUGCCUUCGGGAACUGUAAGACAGGUGCUGCAUGGCUGUCGUCAGCUCGUGUUGUGAAAUGUUGGGUUAAGUCCCGCAACGAGCGCAAUCCUUAUCCUUGUUUGCCAGCACUUCGGGUGGGAACUCCAGGGAGACUGCCGGUGAUAAACCGGAGGAAGGUGGGGACGACGUCAAGUCAUCAUGGCCCUUACGAGUAGGGCUACACACGUGCUACAAUGGCGCAUACAGAGGGCGGCCAACUUGCGAAAGUGAGCGAAUCCCAAAAAGUGCGUCGUAGUCCGGAUUGGAGUCUGCAACUCGACUCCAUGAAGUCGGAAUCGCUAGUAAUCGUGGAUCAGAAUGCCACGGUGAAUACGUUCCCGGGCCUUGUACACACCGCCCGUCACACCAUGGGAGUGGGCUGCAAAAGAAGUGGGUAGUUUAACCUUCGGGAGGACGCUCACCACUUUGUGGUUCAUGACUGGGGUGAAGUCGUAACAAGGUAACCG